rnacentral:rRNA from 2 species
GUCUAUGGCCAUGUCACCCUCAAUGUACUCCAUCUGUCUGAUCUUGGAAGCUAGGCAGGGUCGGGUCUGGUUAGUACUUGGAUGGGAGAAAAGUGGGGCAGGGGCUGAGCUAAGGCCU